GCACCCGUAGCUCAGCGGAUUAGAGCGCUUGUCUUCGGAACAAGAGGUCGUAGGUUCGAAUCCUACCGGGUGUACCA
rnacentral:tRNA from 1 species